GUAACAGGUGGUGCAUGGUUGUCGUCAGCUCGUGUCGUGAGAUGUUGGGUUAAGUCCCGCAACGAGCGCAACCCUCGUUCUAUGUUGCCAGCACGUAAUGGUGGGAACUCAUGGGAUACUGCCGGGGUCAACUCGGAGGAAGGUGGGGAUGACGUCAAAUCAUCAUGCCCCUUAUGUCUUGGGCUUCACGCAUGCUACAAUGGCCGGUACAAAGGGCUGCAAUACCGUAAGGUGGAGCGAAUCCCAAAAAGCCGGUCCCAGUUCGGAUUGAGGUCUGCAACUCGACCUCAUGAAGUCGGAGUCGCUAGUAAUCGCAGAUCAGCAACGCUGCGGUGAAUACGUUCCCGGGUCUU
rnacentral:rRNA from 1 species